rnacentral:rRNA from 1 species
GACGAACGCUGGCGGCGUGCUUAACACAUGCAAGUCGAACGGAAAGGCCCUGCUUUUGUGGGGUGCUCGAGUGGCGAACGGGUGAGUAACACGUGAGUAACCUGCCCUUGACUUUGGGAUAACUUCAGGAAACUGGGGCUAAUACCGGAUAGGAGCUCCUGCUGCAUGGUGGGGGUUGGAAAGUUUCGGCGGUUGGGGAUGGACUCGCGGCUUAUCAGCUUGUUGGUGGGGUAGUGGCUUACCAAGGCUUUGACGGGUAGCCGGCCUGAGAGGGUGACCGGCCACAUUGGGACUGAGAUACGGCCCAGACUCCUACGGGAGGAAGCGGUGGGGAAUAUUGCACAAUGGGCGGAAGCCUGAUGCAGCAACGCCGCGUGCGGGAUGACGGCCUUCGGGUUGUAAACCGCUUUCGCCUGUGACGAAGCGUGAGUGACGGUAAUGGGUAAAGAAGCACCGGCUAACUACGU